rnacentral:rRNA from 1 species
UACGAAGGGUGCAAGCGUUGCUCGGAAUUAUUGGGCGUAAAGGGUAGGUAGGUGGUAAUAAAAGUCUGGGGUGAAAUCCCUGAGCUCAACUCAGGACGUGCCUUGGAAACUUUAUUACUAGAGUGCUGGAGAGGUCCGCAGAAUUCCCGGUGUAGCGGUGAAAUGCGUGGAGAUCGGGAGGAAUACCAGAGGCGAAGGCGGCGGACUGGACAGCAACUGACACUCAACUACGAAAGCGUGGGUAGCAAACAGG